rnacentral:sRNA from 1 species
AUUAUUUUAAAACCUAAUUUCAAUAUUUUACAUUCCUUUUGUCAAUACAAUUUGACUAUCUAUUUCAUCAUAACUAGGAUUUAACCUGCGGUUUAUUUGGUUCUUAUACUAAAUAUUUA